rnacentral:rRNA from 1 species
GAUGAACGCUGGCGGCGUGCCUAACACAUGCAAGUCGAACGGAGUCCAGCCUUUAAGACCUUCGGGUCAAAGAGGGGAAGACUGAGUGGCGGACGGGUGAGUAACACGUGGGCAACCUGGCUCAUAGAGGGGGAUAACAGAGAGAAAUUUCUGCUAAUACCGCAUAAGCACACACUGCCGCAUGGCAGGGGGUGAAAAGAGAAUCGCUAUGAGAUGGACCCGCGUCUGAUUAGCCAGUUGGCAGGGUAAGAGCCUACCAAAGCGACGAUCAGUAGCCGAUCUGAGAGGAUGAACGGCCACAUUGGGACUGAGACACGGCCCAAACUCCUACGGGAGGCAGCAGUGGGGGAUAUUGCACAAUGGGGGGAACCCUGAUGCAGCGACGCCGCGUGAGUGAAGAAGUAUUUCGGGAUGUAAAGCUCUAUCAGCAGGGAAGAUAAUGACAGUACCUGAAUAAGAAGCCCCGGCUAACUACGUG